AGAAUCAACGCUGGCGGCGUGCCUAACACAUGCAAGUCGAACGAGAAAGUGGGAGCAAUCCCAUUAGUAAAGUGGCGCACGGGUGAGUAACACGUGACUAACCUACCCUUGAGUGGGGGAUAACCUAGGGAAACCUGGGCUAAUACCGCAUAAUACCUACGGGUCAAAGGAGCAAUUCGCUUUAGGAGGGGGUCGCGGCAGAUUAGUUAGUUGGCGGGGUAAUGGCCCACCAAGACAGUGAUCUGUAUCCGGCCUGAGAGGGCGCACGGACACACUGGAACUGAAACACGGUCCAGACUCCUACGGGAGGCAGCAGUGGGAAUUUGCGCAAUGGGGGAAACCCUGACGCAGCAACGCCGCGUGGAGGAUGAAGCCCCUUGGGGCGUAAACUCCUUUCGAUCGGGAAGAUAAUGACGGUACCGGAAGAAGAAGCCCGGCUAACUUCGCGCCAGCAGCCGC
rnacentral:rRNA from 1 species